rnacentral:lncRNA from 1 species
CCUGACUCCACCAAGUGAAGAACAUAGAUCUACGAGUACAAACACACUGGAGAUACUGGACACUCAGGCAAUCACUGCCCUAGGAUGCUUGAGGACGUAACUAAUGGAGUAACCCCGUUGUGGAAGUAGUUACUGACCUUCUGCCGGUCAAGAGAGACAAUCCAGGACGCCCCGUCAUCCCGAUCUCCAUCGGCAUGGUGGACUUCCCAGAAGCACUCUGCGACUUUGGCUUCAGCGUCAACAUUAUGCCCAGGAACCUCUACGUCUGAGUUGGUACCUUAUACGCUCCAGCAGACUUCGUGGUGAUAGAGACUGAUACUGAUGAGAGGGCACCCAUCAUCUUAGGGAGGCCAUUCCUGAACACCUCGGGAGCUGUCAUCUACGCUAGUGCUGCCAAGAUUAGUCUCUACAUCAAGGGGAGGAAGGAGACGUUUUCCUUCAAGAACAAGACUACACAAAUCUCAGAGCAAUCCCGACAUGAACCAAGGAAGAGGACCAACAGGAGGAACAGGAACAAGCAAAUGUGUACCGAGUCAGCUAAGAUGGUCACUGCAGCUCAAGGAGGUCAAGAUCGUCGACUCAAGUCACCUAUCUUGAUCAAGAAGGACGACCCUGGUGUUCCAAGCAUCGAGUGCACAAUCAACGGAUAUUCUUUUCAGAAGACACUCUACAACACCGGAUCUAACGUUAACAUAAUGGCCGCAGUCACUUAUCAGCUCCUGCAUGGAACCAUGUCCCUACAACCAACAUACAUUCAGCUCUAGAUGAUUUUAAGGUUAUUGACAUGGGAGAAGACAAGUAUGAUCCUCCAUCAUCCUUAGGAGACCGUUCCUCAGCACCGUUAAAGCAAUCAUCUACAUUGGAACCGGAGAAGUCCACAUUCACUUCUCCUCAGAGAAGGUACGCCACUGUUUUACUGACCCUAACUAUAUAGUUGAAGACUCUAAGCAGGUCAGGACAAGAAGACGACGACGCAACCGCAACCAGAGGAGGCAAAUCAUCAAGGACGGAUGGGUAGACUAUGAAGGAGAAGUUGUAAGGUCUGAAGAUAUACAACUUGAACAGAACUGUCCUGAGGAGACCGUAGCAUCGAGUCAGGUGUGGAGAAAAAAGAUAGUUAUACAUGAAGAGCAGGCUCCACCAGAACCACCGACUACGCCAUCCAGCGAAUCCCAGGACUACUGAGAAAAUGGAGAGUCCCGUUCGGAGGACUUAAAAACACCGAACGCCUUGCCAAGAGGUAAACUUGGUAGUUAUCUUUUUCCUUUCAAUUAUUUAAAAUAGUUUUCUUAGUUAAUCAGGUUCACAUCAUCUUGAAAAGAAAAUAAAAAUGUUAAAAAUAGUAAGCCCCAUGUGAGUAUGCUCAUGGCAUAAAACCCAUAAGUACAUUCACUGUGGUGGCGUAAAAAUGAAAUAAAUAUAUUCCUGUCCUAUAAAAAUAAAAAUAUAAAAAUAAAUUUAUGAUCCUACUAAAGAGAGUAAUAUUUAUUGAGGAGGCUCAACAUGAUAAAGGCUAGAUAUUUAUGCUAACACUUAACCAGUUCCACAAAGCAUUGUUGUCUAUUUGAGCUCCACAGAAUUCAAGGAUCAAAGAAGACUAGCAGACGGAGGACAUCCUAAUCACUGUCAGGGUGCUGCCGACAUUCAAAUAUACCUCCGCCACCUGCUAGCUACAUCAGGAGAAACUACGUCAAAAUCCAGCUUGGGGGAGAGCACCCCCAUUUAUCCAGCUAAGUGUUUCUACUCGCAUUAUACUUUACUCAAAUAAUAAAAAGAUGCAUAAUCAUGAAAAUCCAAAUAAAAAUUUUGUGCCUAUAUAUAUCUUUGCUUAGUUUGCUAAAUAAAUAAAUAAAUAAAGAUCGCUAUGAACCCUCAUGAUAAGCUCUCACAUGGAAAUAAUGAAUAGUUGCUCUGCCAUGACUAAUUCUCAAAAUUGAAAUCUCUCUCAAGUUUAGGCAUGACUGUUAUUAAUUAAGAUUUGCUCUAAACCUGAACUUGUGGGAAGAGUACUUGAUCUAAAGUCUAAGUCGUUAACGGAUAUGAUAUGGGAAGGUUGAGCUGCUGUUUAUCUGUUCCUAGAGAUGCUAGAAUUCUGGAGAAUUUUAUCUUUAAAAAUAUUUAAAAUGUUGCAUGAUGAGUUCCUGUAUGAUGAGAGUUUAAAUUCCUACCACAGCCAUAUAUACAUGCUUGUUAGACUAUGAACCACAAAUUUACUUUUUACUGCUUAUGAGCAUUGAGUGUGGUCAAGCUGUGUAGACCCUUAGGAGCUUGUCAUGUGGUUAAAAUCAAGAUUCACUUGCACGUUCACUCAUACAUGCUGCUUCUACUCCGGAAGUACGCAUCCACAUAUAUCCAUCAAUUUCCAUCUCCAGAACCACCCAAAAAUAUUCUUCUCCUAAUCUGGGAGAGAAUAGCCAAAAACAUUCUCCUAUUUCUGUUUUUCCCUGUGAAAUAAAUGCUCAAGUUAUCUUGGUUACUACCACUUGCUAUAUUAUCUCAUGAGAUGAGUGCUCUAAAAAAAAGAGAAAAAAAAGAGAUAUGAGGAAAUAAAAAGGGGCAAGUGCCCGAAACCUCGAAAGAAAAGAAAAAGUGAGAUGAGAGGUAAAAAUGGACAAGUGUCCGACAGUAGAAUUAGGGGUACAAGAUACUCACCUGAGAGAAAAGAAAAAAAAAGAAAAAAAAAGAAAAUAUAGAGCAUCUCAUUCUCCUCAAAAAGUUUCAAAACAGCAAGAAAGGUAUGUAUCCCCUCAAAAGAGCACAAGUAGAAUUAGACUUUCACCAUUGUUAUCACCAUCAUCACCAUACACCAUUCAUUCGCCACACAUGCACAUCUUGAUUUGACUUAUUGACUUGAUCUUCUGGAUCCAUGGUUUGACUAUGCAAUAAAUGUCUUGUAAGUAUGUAUUAGCUGUCUCCCACCUAUGAGCUCCAGAUAUCAAAAGAAAGCCUUAUUAGAGUAGGGUGAGAGAGAAGGCAAUGUCACUAUGCCUUAUACUAAAAAUACCACAUACCUUGAGAGAAGGCAUAUACCAUUACUGCCUUGGUAAGGAUCCAAAAAUACCACAAAAGAGAGACUAGAGAGAGUCAUACAAGGAAUCUCUGAGUUUUAUUUGAAAAUCUGCAAAAACUCCAGAGCUAUUGUUGAUCAAGAACAUUAGACAUGGUGCUUGACUAGACCGUUCUAUCUUUUAACUGCUGAAGACACAAGUGACGGUUACAAGCCCCAUGGUGAAAGGUAAAUGAGUAAGUUUUAAGUCUUAACAAUUUACCCUAACCUAGAGAUGAGUUCUUGUUUAAACGCAUGUGUAUCUUUAAGUUAUGAAACCACUGCAGAAACUCUUGAGUUCAUCUUUGCUCAGGGACGAGCAAAGGUUAAGCUUGGGGGAGCUUGUUGACGGUCCUUAAUGCUCACAUUUAACCAUCAACUAAUCAUAGAAAAUGAUCCAAAUUGCAACCAACACCUAGACUUAGGGUUUUAUCUAACAGAAUUCCACGAGUUUUGGUGUUUGUCUAUUUCUGCAGGGGGUUAUCAGGAAAUACGGAAGAGAGGCCCACACGUCGGGUUUACAUAGAGAUAUUAACGUGCCGCGCAAUUUUCUAUCAUCUAGAAGACUCCAGAAGCCAUGGGAACGAACGGGAAGGAAAUCGGGCUCGGAGGCAGGGCGCCCGCCCAAUUCUCCUGGGCGCCCGCCCAGCUACAGUGCCCAAUCAGGACUCUCUUUCGGGACAACGCUCCACCGACCUAAAGGAUCAAGGAAAACCGUGCGAUUAAUGUCGGUUUGAUCCAACGGCCCAUAUUCACUUGAAGGGACUAUAAAACCAGACUCCCUGGCCCCUGGAAAUCAUACCUCUUCUACAGAAUCAAAGCUAGGGUUUCAAUUCUUCAUCCAAGUAGAGAGGAUCCCUCUAGUUCUUCUAGUUCUACCUCUAGUUCAUCUAGAUCUAGUUCUAGUUCAUCUAGUUCUAGUUCUAGUUCCUCUAGUUCUAGUUCUAGUUCUAGUUAGUUCUAGUUGUAAUCUAGAAAAUAGGGAGAGAGAAGAGAAGAGCGGAGGAGGAGCCGGAUCUGUCGGAUCUUCCUCAACAUUAUACUUUUGCAGCAUCUGGUUCGUUCUUCAUCAUUCUCCAGGUUCUUCAAUUCAUAAUU